rnacentral:rRNA from 1 species
AUACGUAGGGUGCGAGCGUUGUCCGGAAUUACUGGGCGUAAAGAGCUCGUAGGUGGUUUGUCGCGUCGUCUGUGAAAUUCCGGGGCUUAACUCCGGGCGUGCAGGCGAUACGGGCAUAACUUGAGUACUGUAGGGGAGACUGGAAUUCCUGGUGUAGCGGUGAAAUGCGCAGAUAUCAGGAGGAACACCGGUGGCGAAGGCGGGUCCCUGGGCAGUAACUGACGCUGAGGAGCGAAAGCAUGGGUAGCGAACAGGAUUAGAUGCCCUGGUAGUCCAUGCCGUAAACGGUGGGCGCUAGGUGUAGGGGUCUUCCACGACUUCUGUGCCGUAGCUAACGCAUUAAGCGCCCCGCCUGGGGAGUACGGCCGCAAGGCUAAAACUCAAAUGAAUUGACGGGG